CGGCUAUCAUAAGAGAUGAGAGGAUUGAUAUAAGUUUCAUCAAUUAAUACUUACCUUAAUACAAUUGGGUUAGAAAGAUUGACGAUUCACUGCAGUUUCAGUUCGAUUGAGGAGUAUUGACUAAGGAGAAAUCAACAUCAAAAUAAAAAUAAUAAUGACUAGCAAUUUGAAGAGAGGAUGAGAAACGAAGCGACGGUGGUAAAAAAGGAGUGGGAAGAGGAAGGGCGGUGGUGAA
rnacentral:lncRNA from 1 species